AGAGUUUGAUCCUGGCUCAGAUUGAACGCUGGCGGCAGGCUUAACACAUGCAAGUCGAGCGGAAACGAAGGUAGCUUGCUACCAGACGUCGAGCGGCGGACGGGUGAGUAAUGCUUAGGAAUCUACCGAGUAGUGGGGGAUAGCCAUUGGAAACGAUGAUUAAUACCGCAUAUAUCCUACGGGGGAAAGCAGGGGACCUUCGGGCCUUGCGCUAUUCGAUGAGCCUGAGUGAGAUUAGCUAGUUGGUGGGGUAAAGGCCUACCAGGGCGACGAUCUCUAGCUGGUCUGAGAGGAUGAUCAGCCACACUGGGACUGAGACACGGCCCAGACUCCUACGGGAGGCAGCAGUGGGGAAUAUUGCACAAUGGACGAAAGUCUGAUGCAGCCAUGCCGCGUGUGUGAAGAAGGCCUUCGGGUUGUAAAGCACUUUCAGCGAGGAGGAAAGGUCAGUAAGUAAUAUUUGCUGGCUGUGACGUUACUCGCAGAAGAAGCACCGGCUAAUUUAGUGCCAGCAGCCGCGGUAAUACUAAAGGUGCAAGCGUUAAUCGGAAUUACUGGGCGUAAAGCGCGCGUAGGUGGUUUGUUAAGUUGGAUGUGAAAGCCCAGGGCUCAACCUUGGAACUGCAUUCAAAACUGACUCACUAGAGUACGAGAGAGGUUAGUGGAAUUUCCUGUGUAGCGGUGAAAUGCGUGGAGAUGGGAAG
rnacentral:rRNA from 1 species